CCUACGGGUGGCAGCAGUGGGGAAUAUUCCGCAAUGGGCGAAAGCCUGACGCAGCGACGCCGCGUGAGUGAUGAAGGUCUUCGGAUCGUAAAACUCUGUUAGCAGGGAAGAACGGGCACUGUGGUAAUUAGCAGUGCACUGACGGUACCUGCCCAGGAAGCACCGGCUAACUACGUGCCAGCAGCCGCGGUAAUACGGAGGGUGCGAGCGUUAUCCGGAAUUAUUGGGCGUAAAGCGCUCGUAGGCGGUAUGUCAAGUCAGGGGUGAAAUCCACGCGCUCAACGUGGGAACGGCCUUGGAAACUGGCAGACUGGAGUGUGGGAGAGGAUAGUGGAAUUCCAGGUGUAGGGGUGAAAUGCGUAGAUAUAUGGAGGAACAUCAGUGGCGAAGGCGACUAUCUGGCACAUAACUGACGCUGAGGAGCGAAAGCGUGGGGAGCAAACAGGAUUAGAUACCCGAGUAGUC
rnacentral:rRNA from 1 species